UGGGGAAUAUUGCACAAUGGGCGAAAGCCUGAUGCAGCAACGCCGCGUGAGCGAUGAAGGCCUUCGGGUCGUAAAGCUCUGUCCUCAAGGAAGAUAAUGACGGUACUUGAGGAGGAAGCCCCGGCUAACUACGUGCCAGCAGCCGCGGUAAUACGUAGGGGGCUAGCGUUAUCCGGAAUUACUGGGCGUAAAGGGUGCGUAGGUGGUUUCUUAAGUCAGAGGUGAAAGGCUACGGCUCAACCGUAGUAAGCCUUUGAAACUGGGAAACUUGAGUGCAGGAGAGGAGAGUGGAAUUCCUAGUGUAGCGGUGAAAUGCGUAGAUAUUAGGAGGAACACCAGCGGCGCAGGCGGCUCACUAGACAGUUUCUGACGCUAAGAUACGAAAGCGUGGGGAGCAAACA
rnacentral:rRNA from 1 species